GUGGGGAAUAUUGGACAAUGGGCGCAAGCCUGAUCCAGCCAUGCCGCGUGAGUGAUGAAGGCCUUAGGGUUGUAAAGCUCUUUCACCGGUGAAGAUAAUGACGGUAACCGGAGAAGAAGCCCCGGCUAACUUCGUGCCAGCAGCCGCGGUAAUACGAAGGGGGCUAGCGUUGUUCGGAAUUACUGGGCGUAAAGCGCACGUAGGCUGAUAUUUAAGUCAGGGGUGAAAUCCCGGGGCUCAACCCCGGAACUGCCUUUGAUACUGGGUAUCUUGAGUAUGGAAGAGGUGAGUGGAAUUGCGAGUGUAGAGGUGAAAUUCGUAGAUAUUCGCAGGAACACCAGUGGCGAAGGCGGCUGACUGGUCCAUUACUGACGCUGAGGUGCGAAAGCGUGGGGAGCAAACAGGAUUAGAAACCCUAGUAGUCC
rnacentral:rRNA from 1 species